GAUGAACGCUGGCGGCGUGCCUAACACAUGCAAGUCGAGCGGACGGACGAGAAUCUUGCUUCUCUGAUGUUAUCGGCGGACGGGGGAGGAACACGUAGCUAACCUACCUAUAAGACUGAGAUAAGGUCGGAGACCGGGAGCUAAUACCGGAUAAUAUUUUGAACCGCAUGGUGCAAAAGUGAAAGACGGUCUUGCUGUCACUUAUAGAUGGAUCCGCGCUGCAUUAGCUAGUUGGUAAGGUAACGGCAUACCAAGGCCACGAUGCAUAGCAGACGUGAGAGGGUGAUCGGCCACACUGGCACUGAGACACGGUCCAGACUCCUACGCGAGGGAGCAGUAGGGAAGCUUCCGCAAUGGGAGAAAGCCUGACGGAGCAACGCCGAGUGAGUGAUGAAGGUGUUCGGAUUGGAAAACUCUGUUAUUAGGGACGAACAUAUGUGUAAGUAACUGGGCACAUCUUGACGGUACCUAAUCAGAAAGCCACGGCUAACUACGUG
rnacentral:rRNA from 1 species